rnacentral:rRNA from 1 species
UACGCACGGCGCAAGCGUUGUUCGGAAUCACUGGGCGUAAAGCGCGUGUAGGCGGCUUUGCAAGUCGGGUGUGAAAUCCCGAGGCUCAACCUAGCAACUGCACUCGAUACUGCUUGGCUCGAGGCCCGGAGAGGGGAGGGGAAUUCUCGGGGUAGGGGUGAAAUCCGUAGAUAUCGAGAGGAACACCAGUGGCGAAGGCGGCCAGCUGGACGGUGACUGACGCUGAGAAGCGAAGGCUUGGGGAGCAAACAGG